UGGUGGAGCAUUUGUCUGGUUAAUUCCGAUAACGAACGAGACUCUGGCCUAUUAAAUAGUUCGCCGAUUCCGAUCUGUCGGCGUUAACUUCUUAGAGGGACAAGUGGCUUUUAGCCACGCGAGAUUGAGCAAUAACA
rnacentral:rRNA from 1 species